rnacentral:rRNA from 1 species
GAUGAACGCUAGCGGCAGGCCUAACACAUGCAAGUCGAGGGAGAAGCCCUUUCGGGGGCAGAGACCGGCGCACGGGUGCGUAACGCGUAUGCAACCUACUUUUCACAGGGGGAUAGCCCGAAGAAAUUUGGAUUAAUACUCCAUAAUAUUAUUUGAUGGCAUCAUUUGAUAAUUAAAACUGCGGUGGUGAAAGAUGGGCAUGCGUCCUAUUAGCUAGUUGGAGUGGUAACGGCACCCCAAGGCUACGAUAGGUAGGGGUCCUGAGAGGGAGAUCCCCCACACUGGUACUGAGACAGGGACCAGACUCAUACGGGAGGCAGCAGUGAGGAAUAUUGGUGAAUGGUCGGAAGACUGAACCAGCCAUGCCGCGUGCAGGAAGAAUGCCUUAUGGGUUGUAAACUGCUGUUAUAUGGGAAGAAUAAGGCGUACGUGUACGUUGAUGACGGUACCAUAUGAAUAAGCAUCGGCUAACUCCGUG